rnacentral:rRNA from 1 species
UACGUAGGGUACGAGCGUUGUCCGGAAUUAUUGGGCGUAAAGAGCUCGUAGGCGGUUCGGUAAGUCAGAUGUAAAAACUCCAGGCUCAACUUGGAGAGGCCAUCUGAUACUGCCGUGACUAGAGUCCGGUAGAGGAGCACGGAAUUCCUGGUGUAGCGGUGAAAUGCGCAGAUAUCAGGAGGAACACCGAUGGCGAAGGCAGGUCACUGGGCCGCAACUGACGCUGAGACGCGAAAGCGUGGGGAGCAAACAGG